AUUGAACGCUGGCGGCAUGCCUUACACAUGCAAGUCGAACGGCAGCACGGGAGCAAUCCUGGUGGCGAGUGGCGAACGGGUGAGUAAUAUAUCGGAACGUGCCCAGUCGUGGGGAUAACGUAGCGAAAGCUACGCUAAUACCGCAUACGAUCUAUGGAUGAAAGCGGGGGAUCGCAAGACCUCGCGCGAUUGGAGCGGCCGAUAUCAGAUUAGGUAGUUGGUGAGGUAAAGGCUCGCCAAGCCGACGAUCUGUAGCUGGUCUGAGAGGACGACCAGCCACACUGGGACUGAGACACGGCCCAGACUCCUACGGGAGGCAGCAGUGGGGAAUUUUGGACAAUGGGCGCAAGCCUGAUCCAGCAAUGCCGCGUGCAGGAUGAAGGCUCGGUUGUAACUGCUUU
rnacentral:rRNA from 1 species